AGUGAACGCUGGCGGCGUGCCUAAUACAUGCAAGUCGAACGCGAAAGUCCUUCGGGAUGAGUAAAGUGGCGCACGGGUGAGUAAUGGUUGAGAAUGUGCCCUGAGGUGGGGAAUAACAGUUGGAAACGACUGCUAAUACCGCAUGGUUUCGAAAGAAUAAAGGUGGGGAUCGCAAGACCUACCGCCACAGGAUCGGCUCAACUCCCAUUAGCUAGUUGGCAGGGUAAUGGCCUACCAAGGCAACGAUGGGUAUCUGGUCUUAGAGGAUGAUCAGACACACUGGAACUGAGACACGGUCCAGACUCCUACGGGAGGCAGCAGUAGGGAAUAUUGCACAAUGGGGGAAACCCUGAUGCAGCAACGCCGCGUGAGUGAAGAAGGCCCUUGGGUUGUAAAGCUCUUUAGCCUGGAAGGAAGUGCCUGUAAGUAAAUAAUUUGCAGGUGUGACGGUACCAGGAGAAUAAGGACCGGCUAAUUUCGUGCCAGCAGCCGCUGUAA
rnacentral:rRNA from 1 species